rnacentral:rRNA from 1 species
UACAGAGGUCCCGAGCGUUGUUCGGAUUCACUGGGCGUAAAGGGUGCGUAGGUGGCCGGUUAAGUCUGACGUGAAAUCUCCGAGCCUAACUCGGAAACUGCGUCGGAAACUAUCCGGCUCGAGGGUUGGAGGGGGGACUGGAAUACUUGGUGUAGCAGUGAAAUGCGUAGAUAUCAAGUGGAACACCAGUGGCGAAGGCGAGUCCCUGGACAACUCCUGACACUGAGGCACGAAAGCUAGGGGAGCAAACGGG